UACGAAGGGGGCUAGCGUUGCUCGGAAUCACUGGGCGUAAAGGGUGCGUAGGCGGGUCUUUAAGUCAGGGGUGAAAUCCUGGAGCUCAACUCCAGAACUGCCUUUGAUACUGAGGAUCUUGAGUUCGGGAGAGGUGAGUGGAACUGCGAGUGUAGAGGUGAAAUUCGUAGAUAUUCGCAAGAACACCAGUGGCGAAGGCGGCUCACUGGCCCGAUACUGACGCCUGAGGCACGAAAGCGCUGGGAGCAA
rnacentral:rRNA from 1 species